rnacentral:rRNA from 1 species
GACGAACGCUGGCGGCGUGCUUAACACAUGCAAGUCGAACGGAAAGGCCCUGCUUUUGUCUGGUGCUCGAGUGGCGAACGGGUGAGUAACACGUGAGUAACCUGCCCUUGACUUUGGGAUAACUUCAGGAAACUGGGGCUAAUACCGGAUAGGAGCUCCUGCUGCAUGGUGGGGGUUGGAAAGUUUCGGCGGUUGGGGAUGGACUCGCGGCUUAUCAGCUUGUUGGUGGGGUAGUGGCUUACCAAGGCUGUGACGGGUAGCCGGCCUGAGAGGGUGACCGGGCACAUUGGUACUGAGAUACGGCCCAGAGUCCUACGGGAGGCAGCAGUGGGGAAUAUUGCCCAAUGGGCGGAAGCCUGAUGCAGCAACGCCGCGUGCGGGAUGCCGGCCUUCGGGUUGUAAACCGCUUUCGCCUGUGACGAAGCGUGAGUGACGGUAAUGGGUAAAGAAGCACCGGCUAACUACGUG